rnacentral:rRNA from 1 species
CAGUAGCCGCGGUAACACGAGGGGGGCAAGCGUUGUUCGGAAUUAUUGGGCGUAAAGGGUGCGUAGGCGGCUUGACAAGUCUUGUGUGAAAUCUAUGGGCUCAACCCAUAGUCUGCACGGGAAACUGUCGGGCUUGAGAAUGGGAGAGGUGAGUGGAAUUCCACGCGUAGCGGUGAAAUGCGUAGAGAUGUGGAGGAACACCAGUGGCGAAGGCGACUCUCUGGUCUGUAACUGACGCUGAGGAGCGAAAGCGUGGGGAGCGAACAGGAUUAGAUACCCGGGUAGUCCCUGUCUCUUAUAC